rnacentral:rRNA from 1 species
UACGAAGGGGGCUAGCGUUGUUCGGAAUUACUGGGCGUAAAGCGCGCGUAGGCGGUGAUCCAUGUCAGAGGUGAAAUCCCAGGGCUCAACCCUGGAACUGCCUUUGAAACGGGAUCGCUAGAGUCCGAGAGAGGAUAGCGGAAUUCCUAGUGUAGAGGUGAAAUUCGUAGAUAUUAGGAAGAACACCGGUGGCGAAGGCGGCUAUCUGGCUCGGUACUGACGCUCAGGCGCGAAAGCGUGGGGAUCAAAC